ACUAAUCCGUUAGGGAAGACUUGGAGCACCAUGUGAAUCUGUUUGUGUAUGCAUAAUUGCAUCUGCAGGAAACUACAUCCAGCUGACCGAGCUCUGUAGAAAUAUGCACAACUCACAGACCUCACACCACUCCUGGCUACUGCGGAAGGCAGAAUGUAUGAUGACCACACCCAGCCACAACUGGUGACUGAUCUGGGGUUUAGGAGUAAAACCUCACUUUUCAUAAGAGAGAGGUGAAAUAAGAAUUAGAAUUGCCUCCUGUCUACUGUUGUGGGGGAUGCAGCAUGUUGCCAUGGGAACCGAAUGGUCUUUGGAGUGGAACACUCCUCUACCUGAGGUCCUGCUUGACAAAAUCCUUCUACCAGCGUGACUUCAGUGAACUCCUCAAACCUCCUCAGGUGGCAACAGGAAAAUGGCACUCAGUCUCAAUCACUGAAAAUUAAGUUACAAAAUGCAUGAAAAAUCCCAGCCUAGUGCUUGGAGCAGAGCAGACGUGUUUGUCCUCAUUGUCUUCCUUUGUAUAAUGACACCCAAUAAAUUUUAUUGAGCAUA